rnacentral:siRNA from 1 species
UGACACAGCUUCAAGGAUUCAGAC